AUGCUGCUUUCCUGGCUCUUUUGCAGUGCCUUUCAGAGAAACUCCCAGCUACACAAAGCGGAGACGGAUCCUCGGUGCCGGUGGCCUCGCUUCACCGCGCAUGCUGCAGCGCUCGGCCAGCGACAACAACCUGAAGGCAGAGAGCCGGGCGUCCUACUCACCAGUGCCCUCGCUGCGCAGCCUGCCCCCCCAGCUGCUGGUGCAGAUGCAGGAGGCUGCAGCAGGGGCCGGCGGUGGGGACGGCAGCCUGGCCAGCUCCAGCAGCACCCGCAGCGCCCACAGCCGCUCCCCAUCCUUGCAGCGCGUGCAGGAGGAGAAGGAGGCCGACCUGCCCACGCUCCGGAGGAGCAGCCGUGGCAAGGCCAGCCCCGGCGGGGAGCCGGGCUGCGCUCCGCAGGCCCAGGGGCGCAGCACGGACGGCCCGGGGCGGCCCCAGCUGAAGGUGGCCCCGUGGCCCUGGGAGAUGUGGGGAGCUGGGGAGGAUGGGUGCUAACGAGCAGGGUCCGCAAGCGUCGGGCAGGGGCCGCAGGCAUUUGGCACGAAGCUGCAAACACGGAGCACGGAGUAAAACGCGGGGCGUGGGGCUGCAGGCGCACACCGGGGCUGCACGCGUGGGGCGCAGGCCGCAAAGACGGAGCGCGGGCUGCGGGCACGGGGCGGGGGCUGCGGGCACGGGGCAGCCGCGGGCGGCCGGUGGCGGGGGAUCUGCCCGCAG
rnacentral:lncRNA from 1 species